GGCGUAGUUGUCGUAAUUUCUUGCCAAGGUUGGGGUCGAGGGUUCGAAUCCCUUCGCCCGCUCCA
rnacentral:tRNA from 1 species